rnacentral:tRNA from 1 species
AGGGAUUUAGCUUAGUGGCAUAAGUGCCUGCCUGGCAAGCACGAGGUUGUGAAUUCGAUCCACAGUACCCU